rnacentral:rRNA from 1 species
UACGGGGGGGGCAAGCGUUGUUCGGAAUUACUGGGCGUAAAGGGCUCGUAGGUGGCCAACUAAGUCAGACGUGAAAUCCCUCGGCUUAACCGGGGAACUGCGUCUGAAACUGAAGCGCUAGAGUGCGGUAGGGGUAGAGGGAAUUCCCGGUGUAGCGGUGAAAUGCGUAGAGAUCGGGAAGAACAUCGGUGGCGAAAGCGCUCUACUGGACCGCAACUGACACUCAGGGACGAAAGCUAGGGGAGCGAAUGGG